UGCGUAGGCGGCGACUUAAGCAGGAUGUGAAAUCUCCCGGCUCAACCGGGGAACUGCGUUCUAAACUGGGUUGCUUGAGUGAGAUAGAGGUGUGCGGAACUUCCGGUGGAGCGGUGAAAUGUGUUGAUAUCGGAGGGAACACCGUUGGCGAAAGCGGCACACUGGGUCUUAACUGACGCUGAGGCACGAAAGCCAGGGGAGCAAACG
rnacentral:rRNA from 1 species